rnacentral:rRNA from 1 species
CGCAAGCCUGACGGAGCAACGCCGCGUGUGGGAAGAAGGCUCUUGGGCUGUCAACCACUUUUCUCAGGGAAGAAGCCCUGACGGUACCUGAGGAAUCAGCCUCGGCUAACUCCGUGCCAGCAGCCGCGGUAAUACGGAGGAGGCAAGCGUUAUCCGGAAUUAUUGGGCGUAAAGCGUCCGCAGGGGGCACAUCAAGUCUGCUGUUAAAGCCUGGAGCUUAACUCCGGUAGAGCAGUGGAAACUGGUGUGCUAGAGGGCGACAGGGGUAGAGGGAAUUCCCAGUGUAGCGGUGAAAUGCGUAGAGAUUGGGAAGAACACCGGUGGCGAAAGCGCUCUACUGGGUCGCACCUGACCCUCAGGGGCGAAAGCUAAGGUAGCG